GAUGAACGCUGGCGGCGUGCCUAAUACAUGCAAGUCGAGCGAAUGGAUUAAGAGCUUGCUCUUAUGAAGUUAGCGGCGGACGGGUGAGUAACACGUGGGUAACCUGCCCAUAAGACUGGGAUAACUCCGGGAAACCGGGGCUAAUACCGGAUAACAUUUUGAACCGCAUGGUUCGAAAUUGAAAGGCGGCUUCGGCUGUCACUUAUGGAUGGACCCGCGUCGCAUUAGCUAGUUGGUGAGGUAACGGCGCACCAAGGCAACGAUGCGUAGCCGCCCUGAGAGGGUGAUCGGCCACACGAGGACUGAGACACGGCCCAGACUCCUACGGGAGGCAGCAGUAGGGAAUCUUCCGCAAUGGACGAAAGUCUGACGGAGCAACGCCGCGUGAGUGAUGAAGGCUUUCGGGUCGUAAAACUCUGUUGUUAGGGAAGAACAAGUGCUAGUUGAAUAAGCUGGCACCUUGACGGUACCUAACCAGAAAGCCACGGCUAACUACGUGCCAGCCGCCGCGGUAA
rnacentral:rRNA from 1 species